GCAGAACUGCUCAUCUCCAGGGAAAGGCGACAUCCCGAGAGCCCUCCAGAGCAGAUCUGAGCUCUGCUGGGCGGGGAAGCGGAGACUGAUUCGCCGCGGUCGCGGGCCCAGCGGCUGGGAGGUCCCGCGCUGGCCGAGCAAAUGAGGAGGGCGCAGGGCACGGGGGCGGUGCGCGCCCAGGACAGUUUCCCGUCGGCUUCUCCCGGACUGUCCUACCACUUCCAUCUCGGAGCGGGAUGCUCGGAUCCCCGCAAGGCCUCCUGCGGACGUGGGAGAGUUGCUGAGACAGGUGAGAGUUGAUGAGGCUCAGCGUCUCCAGAUAAAAGAAGGGACAGAGCUGUCGGUGCGGUGAGGUUUGAAAAGUUGCGGCGGCCCCGGCAGCUGCAGGGGGCGAGCGCGGAGCAAAGCCCGGGCCGCACCAGACGGGCCCUGAGUCUCCAGGGCUCCUCGUCCCCAUGCGCCAGCGUGUCUGAUGCUUCACUGGACCCGGGUCUCUUUCUCAAUGUCAUCUCACAGCCUCUGUCCCUUGGGUAGGGAAUCAGGCUUCUGAGCUAUCAUCUGCUUAGUACCGUCGUCCUCUGCUUUGGAAAAUAUUUGAAUUGUGGUCUGAUAGAAGACAUGAAAAAGUUAGAAUACUACUAGAUUCCAAAGGGAAAAAAAAAGUUUCUUCGUUUACAAGUAGCAUCUACUGAUGGGAAUUUCUUAAUUGUUAUCAUUUAAGAAAAUACAGAACCAGGUUUGGAUCCAUGAAAACGAAUUGGUCUUCAGCCUUUCAAACACUGGCCAAAAAAAUUUGCAAAAGAAAAACACAGGCAUCAGGUAGCAGGCACAGUAUUAAAAAUUCAGACAGUUUUACUGUCGGAUCUUAAAAUAUAUUAGAAGUGUGUGACUUUCAUAAAGGACGAGAGAGAAUCAACUUCAUGCUAUUUCGAUAGGUAUUUUCUAGAUAUGCCAGAUAAUUUUGUCUUAUUAUCUCACAGAUUACUUGUUUCAGCCAUACACCAUGGGGAAAAAAAUGGCAAGGGGUUUGAAUGAUCGUUUCCAGAGCAGUUUUUCGUAGCUACAGUAGUACUUCCAUUUUACAAAUUCUCUGUGUUAGUCAUUCACUCAUAUAUUUCAUUCACCAAACAUUUAUUAAGGCUCUUCUAUGUGCUGUGUACAGUGCUAGACUUGGGAGAAGAGGGAUAAGUGGUGAGAGGGACAUACAAAAUUGAAUUAGAAAAAUUCACAGUUUAGGCAACUGGAAAUGCUAGGAAGCAGUUGUAAACCACUAUGAUACAUUCUUGUCGUGAGACGCCACCAGGGCAGCCCCUGCUAAUGGCCGGGAGAGGUACACUGACCACAGCUGAGUUUCGGGGUUCAUCUGCGUGGUGGCCUUUGCUCUUUCAAGGCAGCCACUAUUGGUUCCAUUUACAACAGGAGGAGACCAACACUAAAAGUGCAGUGAUGAGCCUCAUGUCUCACAGUUAGUCAGGCUCCUAAUCCAAAAGCCACUGCUAUGACCUGCGCUUCCGGACAUUCUGCCAUUUGAUCCCUACAACCUCACUACCUGAAGGACUAUAUUUUGAUCAUUCUUAAUGGGCCAGCUUCAAACCCCGUCAAGUUUUGAAGAGGGCAGAUGAAGCUGAUGACAGCUCCAGUUCCAGCUAUGGGUGACCUGUCUGUCUGCCUUUUUUGAGCUGUGGAGUGAUCAGAGUCAUAUUCGCUGCCUGUGCAGUACCACAGGCCUGAUGAAAAUGAAAUGGCAACACCACACAGAUGGCGAAGCGUAGGUCUCACAAGCGUCCUGGCCACGAAGCGUUGUCUUCAGCUUCGAUGUCUUAGCCUUGAGAGAGCAGCAGGGCCAUUCAGCAGUCAUUUAGCCACAGGAAUGUCCGUCACUGAAGGCUGUUUCUGCUGUUGUAUUCUGUCUCAGACCUAGAUGCCUGCAGUUUCCUCGGAUUGAAAACAUGGAGGGAUCUCCUGGUGCAGUGAGUCCAGCAUAUCCAGAGUGAAGCACAGUCACUGGUCAUUUUACACUACAUGGAAAAUCUCAACAAGUUUCAAAUUUUGAUAUUUUGGUUUGAGAAGGAACUCCUUUCCGUAAUCACGAAACUAUCAUUCUGAAUCACCUCUUAAAAACAUC
rnacentral:lncRNA from 1 species